rnacentral:misc_RNA from 1 species
GAUGAAGAACGUAGCGAAAUGCGAUAAGUAGUGUGAAUUGCAGAAUUCAGUGAAUCGUCGAAUCUUUGAACGCACAUUGCGCCCUUUGGUAUUCCAAAGGGCAUGCCUGUUCGAGCGUCAUUUGUACCCUCAAGCUUUGCUUGGUGUUGGGCGUCUUGUCUCUAGCUUUGCUGGAGACUCGCCUUAAAGUAAUUGGCAGCCGGCCUACUGGUUUCGGAGCGCAGCACAAGUCGCACUCUCUAUCAGCAAAGGUCUAGCAUCCAUUAAGCCUUUUUUUCAACUUUUGACCUCGGAUCAGGUAGGGAUACCCGCUGAACUUAAGCAUAUCAAUAAGCGGAGGA